rnacentral:rRNA from 1 species
CUAUGUCGGCGACCGGCGCACGGGUGCGUAACGCGUAUGCAACCUACCCAUUACAGGGGGAUAACACUGAGAAAUCGGUACUAAUACCCCAUAACAUCCAGGGAGGCAUCUUCUUGGGUUGAAAACUCCGGUGGUAAUGGAUGGGCAUGCGUUGUAUUAGUUAGUUGGUGGGGUAACGGCUCACCAAGACAACGAUACAUAGGGGGACUGAGAGGUUAGCCCCCCACAUUGGUACUGAGACACGGACCAGACUCCUACGGGAGGCAGCAG